rnacentral:rRNA from 1 species
AUUGAACGCUGGCGGCAUGCCUUACACAUGCAAGUCGAACGGCAGCACGGGUGCUUGCACCUGGUGGCGAGUGGCGAACGGGUGAGUAAUACAUCGGAACAUGUCCUGUAGUGGGGGAUAGCCCGGCGAAAGCCGGAUUAAUACCGCAUACGAUCUACGGAUGAAAGCGGGGGACCUUCGGGCCUCGCGCUAUAGGGUUGGCCGAUGGCUGAUUAGAUAGUUGGUGGGGUAAAGGCCUACCAAGGCGACGAUCAGUAGCUGGUCUGAGAGGACGACCAGCCACACUGGGACUGAGACACGGCCCAGACUCCUACGGGAGGCAGCAGUGGGGAAUUUUGGACAAUGGGCGAAAGCCUGAUCCAGCAAUGCCGCGUGUGUGAAGAAGGCCUUCGGGUUGUAAAGCACUUUUGUCCGGAAAGAAAUCCUUGGCCCUAAUACGGUCGGGGGAUGACGGUACCGGAAGAAUAAGCACCGGCUAACUACGUG